rnacentral:rRNA from 1 species
UGACCUCAAAUCAGGUAGGACUACCCGCUGAACUUAAGCAUAUCAAUAAGCGGAGGAAAAGAAACUAACAAGGAUUCCCCUAGUAACUGCGAGUGAAGCGGGAAAAGCUCAAAUUUAAAAUCUGGCGGUCCUUGGC